UACAGAGGUCUCAAGCGUUGUUCGGAUUCAUUGGGCGUAAAGGGUGCGUAGGUGGCGCGGUAAUUCGGGUGUGAAAUUUCGGAGCUUAACUCCGAAACUGCAUUCGAUACUGCCGUGCUUGAGGACUGGAGAGGAGACUGGAAUUUACGGUGUAGCAGUGAAAUGCGUAGAGAUCGUAAGGAAGACCAGUGGCGAAGGCGGGUCUCUGGACAGUCCCUGACACUGAGGCACGAAGGCCAGGGGAGCAAACGGG
rnacentral:rRNA from 1 species